rnacentral:rRNA from 1 species
ACUACCGAUGAACGGUUUAGCGAGGCCUCCCGACCUGCCACUGCCUAACUCCGUUAAACCGCAGCGAUGUGGUGUUGGAGCUUGGCCGAGGGGGAAAGUUGGUCGAACUUGAUCGUUUAGAGGAAGUAAAAGUCGUAACAAGGUUUCCGUAGGUGAACCUGCGGAAGGAUCAUUAACGUUGUUGAAUCGAUCGUGGAGUUCGUCUCCCGUGUGAACUGUACUUGAAUCAUCUUCUUGCGAUACGUUUUGGGGGGGUCGACCUAGCGGUCGUCAAAUGCUGUGUGCGUUAGCAGUCAGCCCCCCCACGUUCGCAUGUCUUUGUUUUCUAUCCAGUUUGUCAAUAGUGAGAAUGAUAUUGAAAGAUACGAAAAAAUGUGAGAAAACAACUCAGAACGGUGGAUCUCUUGGCUCACGCAUCGAUGAAGAACGCAGCCAACUGCGAUAAGUAGUGUGAAUUGCAGAAGACAGUGAAUCAUCGAAUCUUUGAACGCAAAUGGCGCUCUCGGGCCCUGGUCCCGGGAGCAUGUCUGUCUGAGGGUCGAAUACACUAUGAAUGUCUUUCUUCUUUUGCGAGGAAAGACGGUGUUGAGGUGUCACGGCCAAGCCUCCUCGUAAAAAAGGAAAGAGGCCGUGUCCCUUGAAAUGUAGAAUGCCGGUGGACGACCGCGACUCGUUCAUAUCGCCCACCGACAGAGAGAGAGGAACAAAAACGUUUACGUACGACCUCAGAUCAGGCAAGACUACCCGCUGAAUUUAAGCAUAUUAAUAAGCGGAGGAAAAGAAACUAACAAGGAUUCCCUCAGUAACGGCGAGUGAAGCGGGAAAUGGCUCAAAUUGAAAAUCGCCCACCUCCCGACAAGAGGGGUGGUGCGAGUUGUAAUUGAGAGAAGCGCCGUCCGGGCCCCGUGCGGGUUCGCGCCCAAGUCGCCUGGAAGGGCGCGUCGUGGAGGGUGAGAACCCCGUCUCUAGGCGCGACCCGGGGCCGGCGAGGCGUUUUCCAA